AAUCCUCCAGCAAAAGAAAAAAAAAAUAAUAAUUUUUUUUUUUUUUACCAACACACGGGAUUUUUCGAUUUUCCUCUCUUACCAGAUGGUAUUUCGAAUCCGAGAAUAAAUAAAAACCUGUCAACUGCCACUGACAGUUAAUACUUUGCCGCUAGGCUUUUGUUUUUUUUUUUUUUUCUUGUGACCUUCGUCUUGCGAACAACUUUCGUCUAGAUAGGUUUUUAAAUUAGAAUCGUUUGUUAAACGAAUAUAUAUACACAUAUAACGCCCAUAAGACCACCUAUCAUUUUUCUAGGUCAGCGACACCUUUUAUUUUACUCGAGUUCUGACACGCGUUAAGACGAUAUGUAAUUAACGAGGCUUACAGAAAGAAAAUCCCUCGGAGACAUUGCUUUAAAAGUUCCUAGAAGAGUUUCCGAAAUUUGUCCCAAGGCUUGAACUAAUUUGAAAAACCAGGCGUAUCUGUUAAGAAUUUCCGGACUGUAAGGAGUACGAGAUUUAUUCAGGGUUAUAACGCAUCUUUCCUCAGAAUUUUAAUUAUUAUCCACUUAAAAUUUUAAGGAAAAAAACGGACAGUUUGCCAUUAUGUUUAGAUUUUUUUCCUGGUUGAUUCGAAUAUUAUAUAUAUAUAUAAGUUCAGCUUUGAAUCGAAAUACCAUAAAAGUGCACGUUUCUCUCUUUCUCUCUUGUGUAACUUUGAUACAAGUUGGAACCCGAAAUAUUCUAGGUCUUCGCUAUUUGUUCCAGACCUUUGUAUUGCUUCUCCUGAAGCUAAUAUUGCUAUUGAAUAGAACCUAAUUUUGACUUUGAUAAAUUACAGGAAAUCGCAUUCGACCCCUACAAAACUUCUCCAUUAUUCCCAACAGUGUGUCCUUAGUGUGUCGACUGGUCAGAAAGGCAUUUGUUUAUGUAAGAAGGUCAUAUUUCCAAACAGAGGGGGUACAGCAUCUCUUUCGGGAGGUUGCAAUGGUUUGGUUUUUAUGUCAAAAACAGGGAAGAUAAUGCCAUUUUAUCUACACUCGCUUUCUCUAAUUUAUCGAGUUUCGGUGGCUUUAUAAAUUCCAAAAAGACUUUCGGUAGUCUCCACAAUCAAUGGAGAUAACUUAAAUUCGGAUUUUAAAGUUAUCUAACGUGUGUUUAGUUUACACGAUCGUUCGCUGUUGAAUAAUGUUUAUAUUAACUAUUAUAGAAAGCGUAAAAAAUAAAGCGUAAUCGCUUACCACCGAAGUAAAUUAUCAAGUAGCGAUGCGCACAGAUUAUUUUUAUAAUUAAUUAACACACGAAAAUUUUACACUGCCCGCAAACACCGGGAUAAUACAGCAUUUUAGUGUUUGAGGACCGUUCAGCGUUAAUACGUAGGAAAACUUAAAAAAACCGAUUGGUUAACGGUUCGUCACGUGUUGUUGUGCAUAUUGGCCUUGACUUCGUUUCGUUAAUGUCAUAUCCAAUCAACUCUUAACGUUGGAAUAUAUGUCGUCGAGAACGACAUAAAUUCUUAAUACUGAUUUGGCAGUGGCGUUACACAGAGGGCGACGGUCCGCCCGGGCACCAAGCUGAAUGGGGGGUCGAGAACAUGGAAUAUCGUCAAUAUUCACCAGAUAUUUGUGUAAAAAAUUUUUGUAUAGUUUUUUCAGUUCAAAUUAUUUAAGAAAAUAUGCGUUGGAAGUUUUUUUUGAAGUGGGAGAGGGGGGCCAAAAAAUACCGCCCCAGGUAUCAAAUAUUGUGGGUACGCCACUGCCGAUUGGUUAUAUCAUUGUCGCAUUUAUAUAUAUUAACUCGUGACGACGAGAACCAAUCAGCGUUACUAAUUUCGAAUUUUUGAAAACCGAGCAUUGUUAAACGUUUAUUACGUAUGCCGUCGCCUCAUUGGUUUACGAUUUAUUGCAAUUAGUAAUUAAGAUCCAGUCAGCGUUAAGUAAUUCGAAUAUUCGAAAAUUCGGCGUGUUCCCCCCCCCGUUGGUUGGCGGUUUCGAAUGCCGCGCUCGUAUUGGCUUCGAGCGUUUACGACGUAUCGAAAUAUUCAAACCUAAUUUGUCGAAGAUUAGAUAUUCGAAAACUCGAAUUUAAAAAAAAAAAAAUCGUAUUCCCGAUUGCUUAUCGAACAGCAUCACGUCCUACGCGAUUACAGAUCGGUAUGUUUUCAUUGGUCACGCUGUUUCGGUAAUAAAAAAAUAAUAAUGCAAACAGGAGGUCGGAUGCGAUUCAUUAAUCGAACAGAAAAUAAAUCGAUUCGUAUUGUUAAUAUUAAAAAUAAAAAUAAAAAAAAAAAAUUUCUUUCCAGUCAACAAAAUUCAAAAAUAUCUUCGG
rnacentral:lncRNA from 1 species